rnacentral:rRNA from 1 species
UACGUAGGGGGCAAGCGUUGUCCGGAUUUAUUGGGCGUAAAGAGCGUGUAGGCGGCCAGGUAGGUCUGCUGUGAAAACUCGAGGCUCAACCUCGGGUCUGCAGUCGAUACGGGCAAACUAGAGUAUUGCAGGGGAGACUGGAAUUCCUGGUGUAGCGGUGAAAUGCGCAGAUAUCAGGAGGAACACCGGUGGCGAAGGCGGGUCUCUGGGCAAUAACUGACGCUGAGGAGCGAAAGCGUGGGGAGCGAACAGG